rnacentral:rRNA from 1 species
UACGAAGGGGGCUAGCGUUGCUCGGAAUCACUGGGCGUAAAGCGCACGUAGGCGGCUUGUUAAGUCAUGGGUGAAAUCCUGGAGCUCAACUCCAGAACUGCCUUUGAUACUGGCGAGCUUGAGUUCGGGAGAGGUGAGUGGAACUGCGAGUGUAGAGGUGAAAUUCGUAGAUAUUCGCAAGAACACCAGUGGCGAAGGCGGCUCACUGGCCCGAUACUGACGCUGAGGUGCGAAAGCGUGGGGAGCAAACAGG